CCUACGGGGGGCUGCAGUGGGGAAUAUUGCACAAUGGGGGAAACCCUGAUGCAGCGACGCCGCGUGAGGGAAGAAGGUUUUCGGAUCGUAAAGCUCUAUCAGCAGGGAAGAAGAAAACGGCAGUUGCUGACUAAGAAGCCCCGGCUAACUACGUGCCAGCAGCGGCGGUAAUACGUAGGGGGCAAUCGUUGUGCGGAAUCACUGGGUGUAAAGGGUGUGUAGGCGGUUGGUCAAGUCGGAUGUGAAAGCCCGGGGCUCAACCCAGGGACUGCAAUUGAAACUGUGUUAGUAGAGUGCAGGGGAGGAAAGUGGAAUUCCUGGUGUAGCGGUGAAAUGCGUAGAUAUUAGGAAGAACACCGGUGGCGAAGGCGGCUUUCUGGACCGUAACUGACGCUGAGACACGAAAGCGUGGGAAGCGAACAGGAUUAGAUACCCGUGUAGUC
rnacentral:rRNA from 1 species